AUGUGGGGGAAGUGAUGAAAUUCUCUCUGUCAGAGCUGGAGGCUGGGCUGGGGCUCGACCUGGGCUUUCUCGGGUUGGUUGGGUUCCUGGGGUGGGCUUGGGAGACAAAUCCAUAGUUCAGCUUUUCCCCUUUCUCCCAUGCAAAUCCUCUCACAGCUGGGAAAAUAAGGGUCUGCAGAGUGAUUAAUUGGCAGAAAACGUCACAUGCGCUAAAUACUGGUGACAAGAUGUCUCUGAGCACUUGGCCAGGUCGGAGAGCAGCACAGCUCAUUUACAUUCUGGCUCAAUCCAGCCUGGCCCCAGGGCUCAUUUGCAUGUGGCCUGCCCCUUAGGGCUCUAAAAGCUGCUACAGGAUUUCACAGAGGCAGGAACCAGCUGAACCCCAAGGACAGGGUUGGCUCCUUCUCUCCCUCUGUCCAUCUCCUCCCUGCACCAUGGCCCUGUGCGCUCUGCCUCUCUGUCUCCUGGGGCUCUUCCUGGCAGGUUCUUGUGCCCAGCACGUGGUGACGCAGCCGCCCUCAGUGUCAGGGUCUCCAGGGCAGACAGUGAAACUCUCGUGCAGCGUCAGUGGAGGAUACAGCAUCAGUAGCUAUGGAGUGAGCUGGCACCAACAGACCCCAGGGAAUCCUCCCAGAUACCUGCUCUAUUAUUACAGUGAUUCUAGCACAAGCAGGGGCACUGGGGUCCCGGACCGGUUCUCUGGCUCUGCCUCCGGCAGUGUUGGCUACUUAACCAUCUCUGGGCUCCAAGCCGAGGAUGACGCUGAUUAUUACUGUCUGACUUGGGACAACAGCGCUAAGAUGCUCACAGUGGUGUAAUCAGAGAGGGAAGUGAGACAAAAACCUUUCA